AAAGACCUAAGUUUAAAUUGUAGAAUUCAUUUUUUUUAGAAGAAAGAGGUCUUACAUGAAGAUAAAGAGUCUUGUUUGGUAGCCAAGGAUGACUUGCCUGCAGGCUCACCAAAGGGUUUCUAGUCCUUCUUUUGUUUUUUUUUUCCCCUGACAAAAGGGUUUUUAGUCCUUUGUUUAAUCAUCCAGGUAGAGUUGGGUUGAGAAGGAUGGUAAGGUGAAAAAAAUUGCUUGUAGUGCCUCAAUUCUCUCAAACAUGCUAUCAACUGCGGAGAAGAUAUUGUCAAUGCGGUGGGAGUGGCACGAUUUGUAGUCUUCGUAUGGGCAAUGAACAUCGUAUGAUUGAGCCAACUUCAAAAUCCCUUGGUUCAAUAGUUGUCACCUGGCUAGUUUCAAGAAUUGCUGCUGCUGCUGCUGCUGCUUCAAGGGGCCUUAGAUGCUACCAUGUUGCCGAGCCAUUCAAUCAAUCUGCAAAAAGAAACCUCAUACGCGGUACUUUUCAGUUUGAACAGGAGCGCCCUGCCCUUGUUCAUUUCAUACAGGCUAUCUCAUGAUAUGAUCAAGCAGUGCCAGGAGGAGAUGCUGCGAAAGUAGAGUGACCGGCUGAUGAAGGAAUGACAGAUUUAGAUUAUUUGCACUAACAAAUGCUAGUUAGUAGAUAACAGGUCUUGUAGAUAAUAAUGUGUUUUAAGGCGAUCAGUUUAUUUGCAUUUCUAUUUGUAAAUUCUGAAAAAGUCGAACCAUUUAAUACAUGUUGAUUUAUAAAAA